UACGUAGAAGACUAGUGUUAUUCAUCUUUAAGGUAGGUUUAAAGGGUACCUAGACGGUAUAAUUAUGUCUUUAAUAGGAAACGAUUAUACUAGAGUUAUAUAUGAGGAAGGUGAGUAUUUGUGGAGUAGAGUUGAAAUUCUUUGAUACCAUGACGACUGGUAAAGGCGAAAGCAACCUUUUAUCUAAUAACUGACGUUGAGGGACGAAGGCUCGGGUCGCGAACAGG
rnacentral:rRNA from 1 species